UACGUAGGGUGCAAGCGUUGUCCGGAAUUAUUGGGCGUAAAGAGCUCGUAGGCGGUCUGUCACGUCGGAUGUGAAAACUCGGGGCUCAACCCCGAGCCUGCAUACGAUACGGGCAGACUUGAGUUCGGCAGGGGAGACUGGAAUUCCUGGUGUAGCGGUGAAAUGCGCAGAUAUCAGGAGGAACACCGGUGGCGAAGGCGGGUCUCUGGGCCGAUACUGACGCUGAGGAGCUAAAGCGUGGGGAGCGAACAGG
rnacentral:rRNA from 1 species